rnacentral:lncRNA from 1 species
CCCCAACAGCUCCCAACAUGACUGCGUUGUUUAAGUAGCCGAUUGCUCUCUUGUAUGACUGUCAAAUAUUUCAGGUUGCAAGAAAGCUCAAGUAGCCUAUGGAGAGGAUGCAAGGCUUCCAGCUGAUGCCCUCAGCCAGGCUCAGUAGCAGCCAGAACUAGCCUACCAACGAACCUGCUGAUCAUGUGCAUAAGCCACCUUGAACGUCGAUCCUCCUGCCUGGUGGAGCCAUCCCAGCUGAUGCCACAUGAAGCAGACACAAGCUGUCCCUACUAAGCUCUGCUCAAGUUGGAUAUUCAUGAGUGAAAUAAAUGACUGUUACUAAGUAAUUAAUUUUUGGGUGGCUGUUAUGUAGCAGUAGAUAAUUGGAACAAAGCUUAUUGACAUAAUACAUCUAUAUCACAUCCUCCAAUCCAUUUUUUUAAGUAAUAAAGUUGAUGUUUGUUUUGAUUUUCAGUUACAGCUUUACAUAUUUUGUCUUAAUUAGUCAAUUUUUUCCAAACUCAAAAUGGGUUUUUGUAAGAGUAGUAGUAGGGUCCUAGAAUAAUGGCAAUUCUCUUUCACUGGAGAAAGUUUUGUAGAGAAGACAAAAGAAUUUUUACAAGUACUCCACUGGUGAAAACUCAUAAACCUUGAAGGUAUUUUUAAAUUCAUCAUGCAUUUAUCAAUUUAUAAAUGAAUUCAUCAUUCAUUGGUCCAUUCAUCCAUCCCUCCAUCCAUUUCUAGAUCCUCUCAUAAGAGGAAAUCUAGGAAUAAGCCUGAUCAGUGAAAGUUUCAUGGGAAAGAGGAAGGAGGAAGAAAUUAUUUUAUUUUUAGAGUUUUGGGAGUUAGUGGUUAUGGACUUGCACUGGAGAAGAUGGGUGAGAAAGUUCAAGGUUUCUAAAAUGGGAAAGUAGGCCUGGAGAAAAUGUUGCAACCAAGAUUAUAAGGCCAAUUACCAGGUCUGAUUACCAGAAAAUAAUUUUUAAGGCAGGAAUAUUAGGCCAUAUCAGUACCUGAAAGAGUGAUCGAGGCUAAUUUGUUCAUUCAUGUAACAACAAUUUAUUAUGUGCUACUAAGUACCAUCACUAUAUUAUAAACUGAGGGUUCAGUAGUGGAUAAGAGAAACUAAUUCCCUGGCCUAAUGAAGAUUUCAUUCAACGGGGAAAACAAGAAACAUAUAUGUAAAUUAGCAAAAGUUAAUAAUAUCAUUCAAAGAGUGCUAAGAGCUCUGAAAAUAGUAAAGCAGGGUGACUGAUAAAACAGGACUAAGCAGGUAACAGUAAGAGGUGAUCAGGGAAAAAACCUCUGAAGAAAACAUAUUUGAUCUGGAAUCCAAAUGGCAAGUAGAAUGAAGAAGGUAAAUAAUUCAUACAAGAGCAUAUCUCUUCCAUAGCAAGUGCAAAGACCCUGGGCAAAUGCCAUAGUUGAGCUAGCACCCACCACUGGCUUCAAGUGAUGGGUGAGUGAUACAGACUCAAGGAAAGGGCCAAAAGGGCAGACAAAACCAGUUCAAUUUGUCACUUAUUCAUCCACCCAUUGAUCCAUCUACUGAUCCAUUUAUCCAUCCAUCCAUCCAUCCAUCCAUCCAUCCAUCCAUCCAUCUAUUCAACAUACAUGUUGGGUGCCCUUUACAUACCAGGACCUGUACUGGGCAUGGGAACUGCAGAGAUGAAAAGAUGAACAAUCUCUGUACUUGAGGGACUCAUCUCACUCUGUGAGAUGAACUGGCAUGUGACUGAAAACUCACUAUAUUGGUAACGAGACUAAAACACAGAGCUUAAUGAUUUAACCUGAUACCACCCAAGUGGUUAGCGGUUAGUGGCAGGGCUUCAGAAUUUUAUUUUCCUUCCCUACAGGGAAAACCAUUAUGUGUGACCUACUUUUUCAAACUCUCUUCCUCAGUGGGGCAACAAUUAGAGUUUAUCUAUUGCUAGUGCUUACCAUUUUAGGCUCCUUUAAUUAGAGUGUUUUAAAUUAGUGUUAUUUUAAUUUUGCUUAUCUCCUGAGACAUUAUAGAGGAUAAAUAGCAAAUGAAAUAAUGUACAUGAAAACACAUUGUAACCCAUAAACCAUCAUACAGAUGUGUGUUAUAUACAGUUUUAUAUUUGAGGAUAUAGCUUUAUGCAUUAGUACUGCUUCCUCCUCAGGGAUGUCUCCAAAAGAAUUCAGAGUAAAACAGACUUGUGGAUUGAUGCUUUAAAGACAUUUUGUAUUUUCUUUAAAAAUAAAAUUGACUCACAGUAGGUGCUUAAUAAAUAUUUGUUCAAAGAAUGCAUAAGAUGCAAUAUUCAGAGACAUAGAUUCAGUGUAGUAGGCAUCAGUGUGGCUACUUGGCUACUUACUGUGCAAAAGAUGUCAAUUUGUGAGUGCAAAUUCAUCUUAAGGAAAUUCUCUGAUUUAAUUUAAGCAUUGGUAGAGAGAUUUACUAUUAUCCUCCUUGGAAAUGAAAAGCAUAUAGCUCAGGGAAGGAAGAUCACAUUUUUAGGAGAACUAUCUGGGGGCAGAUUACCCAAAGUGUUAAUUAUUAUAAUUACUAUUGUUAAGUUGGUUUUAAAGUCCUAUAUGAUGUAAUAUCAUGUUCUCUUUUUGUUUCUCCAGCUGAGCUGAUGAUCUUUUAAAUAAAAAACUACAACCACCUGUCUU